GGACACUAUAUAUAGACAUUACAACAGCCUAUGUGAGAAAAUUAUUAGCUCCAAAACGAAUAGGUAAAGGGACUCCACCUGUUAUGAAACAUGGAGAUUUUGGAUAUCAAUUCGCAAUGAUUUCAGUUUCUUCUCAAUAAUUGUCAAUUCUUCUGCAGUCGCUAAAAGUUCAUCCAGUCUGUUUUGAGCUCUAACUUGAUAUGGCUUACCGAUGAGUUUUACAAAGUCCUCCACAUUACUAGUCGUCUCCAAGAGCUCCUUCUGCAUAGCCUCUUCGAGUUCACGUGCAAGGCCAUCAGCAGUCCUCUUUACUUUAUCUACCACUUGCUGUCUCCGGGAUGAGAAGUUGGAGACCGCUAAUAAACCGCCAGCAGAACAAAGGCCAAGUGCAAGGAGGUCUUCUAAUGUGGUUUGAAGAACAGAUGUCAGAAGCGACGCUGAUAAACCAGCUGCUCCAAGACCACCAAAAGUACCCAAGAACACUUCACGAAUAUCUCUCUCAAGCAAUUUUGAAGCAGCUGCAGCACUGAAAUCCUCUAUGACACUUAUGGUAACUUCAGAUUUUCUAUCCAGCACACCAGUUGUUCCUAACUCAAUUUGGUCAGACGGAUUCACCAAUGAAGUCCAUCUUUUUUCAAAAGACUGCUUAUAGAAUUGUACUUCCUGGUCCCUCUUUGACUGUAACCACUUAGUGUACUCCCCGAGAAGGUUUUGUCCUUCAAGAACCGCUUGACCGAGUAUGUCAUUUUGGACACUAAUGGUGGCUGGCAUUUGAGUAGAGUUUUC
rnacentral:misc_RNA from 1 species